AAUGUAAGUUAUUUUCUUACAAUUAGUACUUGUAUUUUAAUGAUAUUAUUUUGGGAUUUUUAGGCAGACUU
rnacentral:tRNA from 1 species